ACUACGGGAGGCAGCAGUGAGGAAUAUUGGUCAAUGGACGCAAGUCUGAACCAGCCAUGCCGCGUGCAGGAAGACGGCUCUAUGAGUUGUAAACUGCUUUUGUACGAGGGUAAACGCAGAUACGCGUAUCUGUCUGAAAGUAUCGUACGAAUAAGGAUCGGCUAACUCCGUGCCAGCAGCCGGGGUAAUACGGAGGAUUCAAGCGUUAUCCGGCUUUAUUGGGUUUAAAGGGGGGUUAGGUGGUCGGAUAAGUUAGAGGUGAAACCCCGAGGCUCAAGUUCGUAAUUGCCUCUGAUACUGUUCGGCUAGAGAGUAGUUGCGGUAGGCGGAAUGUAUGGGGUAGCGGUGAAAUGCUUAGAGAUCAUACAGAACACCGAUUGCGAAGGCAGCUUACCAAGCUACUUCUGACGUUGAGGCACGAAAGCGUGGGGAGCAAACAGGAUUAGAUACCCGGGUAGUC
rnacentral:rRNA from 1 species